CGUGGACUGCAUCGUGUAAGCCGCCGGUACCCGACCGACGACGGACAUCAAAUCGUCCGACUGGCGCUCUUGCAGAGCCUUUUGUCCUCCUCAAAGACAAAGAGACAACGAUCGUUGAUCGCCACGGACUAAAUAUUAUUAUCAAAGAAUCGAUCGUUUCCGGAUCAAGACAUCUCGCGCCACCGCUUUAGUUGUGUCAAAAUCCUUUUUGGUCAUCUUAACGUAAAGUGCAUGUCACAUGACAUUGAUUUUUGACGUUUCCUGUUGCAAUGUGUUUGCAAAACUAUUACCUGUCAAUAACACAUACCUGCCAAAAUGUGUUUUCAGAACUAAUCGGUAUCAUACCAUGUGUGGCCUCUACAGAACCAGAUCUAAGUCUCAGGAGGUCGAUGCAAAUAUCAUUUAGAGGUCCUUUAAAAAAAAUUGUUUGCUGCAAACUUAGCAGUU